ACCUGGUUGAAAUAAAGGUGUUCUCAACUAGCUUACCUGGUUGAAAUAAAGGUGUUCUCAACUAGCUUACCUGGUUGAAAUAAAGGUGUUCUCAACUAGCUUACCUGGUUGAAAUAAAGGUGUUCUCAACUAGCUUACCUGGUUGAAAUAAAGGUGUUCUCAACUAGCUUACCUGGUUGAAAUAAAGGUGUUCUCAACUAGCUUACCUGGUUGAAAUAAAGGUGUUCUCAACUAGCUUACCUGGUUGAAAUAAAGGUGUUCUCAACUAGCUUACCUGGUUGAAAUAAAGGUGUUCUCAACUAGCUUACCUGGUUGAAAUAAAGGUGUUCUCAACUAGCUUACCUGGUUGAAAUAAAGGUGUUCUCAACUAGCUUACCUGGUUGAAAUAA